rnacentral:tRNA from 1 species
GGAGUUAGCUCAGCGGUAGAGCGCUUGCCUAGCAAGCACAAGGCCCUGGGUUCGGUCCCCAGCUCCG